rnacentral:lncRNA from 1 species
CUAAAAUCGGAUGACACAAGGCGAACUAGAAUAGGUUGAUUGAUCCAGGUAGCGACAGGAUCCAAUCGAAAGGAACCGCGCGUACGCUAGAAAGACGUAUAGGCAAGCCUUUCUUUAUGAUCAUAUGGAUCGCUUUUCGUGACUUUUCUUUCCAUAGGCAUAGAUUGCAGUCUAACCAGCUUUCUAACUUUAGGGGACCGAGAAUCAGUCUUUUGAUCCUCCUCUCACAUUCGUUCGAGCUACUUCUAUCCUCGAGCCUACUCUCU